AAAUGGAUAGCUCAAUUGGUUAGAGCAUCAGGCUUACACCCUGAAGGUAGAAGGUUCGAAUCCUUUUCCA
rnacentral:tRNA from 1 species